GUAGCAUAAUAAUUUGCUUCUUAAUUAGGAGAUCGUAUGAAGGGUUAUACAUUAGAAUCCUGUCUCUUUUAACCAAAUAAACUUAAGUAAAAAGUAAAAACUCUUUUAACCAAAGCGGGACGACAAGACCCUGACAAACUUAACAUUUAGUUGGGGAAACAAAAUAAUAAAUAUUUAUUCAUAACCUAAACAUAACUUUAAAAUAAAAAUAAGACUAGUUACUGCAGGGAUAACAGCGUUAUUUCUUUUGAGAGCUCUUAUCUAAAAAGAAGAUUACGACCUCGAUGUUGAAUUAAUUCCGCUAUACAGGUGCAACAACCUUAUAAGGUAGUCUGUUCGACUAUUAAAAAAUU
rnacentral:rRNA from 1 species